GAAACAGAAAUCAGGAAGACGUCUGUGUUUUCUCCCAAGUACUGACUCACUCAGCAGCAGAAGGACAUUAAGACAGCAAGAGUCACUGUGACAUCUGUAACUGGAGCCAUAUCCUCAUAACUUUGGGCCUUUGCUGGGGCACAACAGUGUAUUUUGACUUGUGUAUAUAGAGCUGAUUAAAGGUGGCCUGCCUUUUGUAAAAUGUGUAAACUUCUUAAUAAAAGCAUUUCUCUGCAUGUCUGCUAAAGUAAACUGUAAAAUGUCUUGUGAAAUAAAGUCUUUUGAAUGUCUGA